rnacentral:rRNA from 1 species
UACAGAGGUCUCAAGCGUUGUUCGGAUUCAUUGGGCGUAAAGGGUGCGUAGGCGGCGCGGUAAGUCGGGUGUGAAAUCUUGGAGCUUAACUCCGAAACUGCAUUCGAUACUGCCGUGCUUGAGGACUGGAGAGGAGACUGGAAUUUACGGUGUAGCGGUGAAAUGCGUAGAUAUCGGGAGGAACACCAGUGGCGAAGGCGGCUUCCUGGCCUGUUCUUGACGCUGAGGCGCGAAAGCUAGGGGAGCAAACGGG